rnacentral:rRNA from 1 species
UACGUAGGUGGCAAGCGUUGUCCGGCUUUACUGGGCGUAAAGCGCGCGCCGGCGGUCGUGCAAGUCGCGUGUGAAAGCCCCCGGCUCAACUGGGGAGGGUCACGCGAUACUGCUCGACUUGAAGGCAGGAGAGGGAAGUGGAAUUCCCGGUGUAGUGGUGAAAUGCGUAGAUAUCGGGAGGAACACCAGUGGCGAAGGCGACUUCCUGGCCUGUUCUUGACGCUGAGGCGCGAAAGCUAGGGUAGCAAACGGG